AUUGAACGCUGGCGGCAGGCCUAACACAUGCAAGUCGAGCGGAUCGCCGGACGGGGGAGUAAGGCCUAGGACUGUGAAAGGUCGUGGGGGAGAACGAUCAGAAACGGGAGCUAAUACUGCUACCUCUGAGAAGCGCCUAGGUCGGAUUAGCUUGUUGGUGGGGUAAAGGCCUACCAAGGCGACGAUCCGUAACUGGUCUGAGAGGAUGAUCAGUCACACUGGAACUGAGACACGGUCCAGACUCCUACGGGAGGCAGCAGUGGGGAAUAUUGGACAAUGGGCGAAAGCCUGAUCCAGCCAUGCCGCGUGUAUGAAGAAGGUCUUCGGAUUGUAAAGCACUUUAAGUUGGGAGGCGUUACCAACAGAAUAAGCACCGGCUAACUUCGUGCCAGCAGCCGCGGUAAUUC
rnacentral:rRNA from 1 species